ensembl:misc_RNA
UCAGCUGCCGGGCUAUAAUCUAUGAAACCGAGCCUGGAUCCAGCCAAUCAGUUUGCUCCUUAUAACAAGUCUAACUGGCUCUGGAAAGCUGAAAGGGCUGCACUGGAGCGGCAUAGACGAUAUAUUCCACACAAUAAUCUGCUUAUCUGGAAUCACUCUGGCUGGAAAGGCCAGAGAAAAUCGCAGCUUCAUUAUCUGAGGGAAAGACAGGUAAUCUGGCAAAACAUAUCUAAACCUGGAGCAA